rnacentral:rRNA from 1 species
UACGUAGGGGGCAAGCGUUGUUCGGAAUUACUGGGCGUAAAGGGCGCGUAGGCGGCGCGGUAAGUCGGGAGUGAAAGCCCGGGGCUCAACCCCGGAACGUCUUUCGAAACUGCCGAGCUAGAGUGCGGAAGAGGCAACUGGAAUUCCCAGUGUAGCGGUGAAAUGCGUAGAUAUUGGGAAGAACACCUGAGGCGAAGGCGGGUUGCUGGGCCGACACUGACGCUGAGGCGCGAAAGCCAGGGGAGCGAACGGG